rnacentral:misc_RNA from 1 species
CUAACUCAGCUCCAACACUUCCUUAUACCUGCAUUACAUUUAAUAAUUCUUCUACUCUAUUUUUCCUAAAUCUCUUUCUCUGGUAUGUAACAGCAUAUAUAUGCAAAGUGGAUUUGAUCAGAAGCUUCUGCAUCUGGUCCAUUUUACACUGUUGAAACAUAGUCAAGAACUUUUGGUGAUAUUGUUAACAACUUUUUCCAUGUUGCAAUCAUUCAUAUUCUUGCUUUAUUGUUACUCCAAGUUUGUUCUCCCAAUAUGCUAAAUCAACUUGUGCAUGGUACAAAUUGCUUCUCCGUCCUGUGCUUCUGUUUUUUGAUCAUGUUUUUGGUGUAUUUCUUCCUAAGAUUUCUUGGCCAAACUUCUAUACAGUUGCAUUCUCAAAAACUACAAGCAGGUUAACCCUUUCUAUCUCUCAAAUGUCUUUUUCAUAUGUUUUAACUGAAACAGAAAUUUUUCUUUGCAUUCCUGGACUUUUAGAGUGCAUUCGGUAUUGUUGCCAAUUAUGGUUUUUCAUUUUUUAUUUGCUAAAGAAAAUGAAAAACUGGUUCAGCAAAAGUGUUACUGCUUUUUAUUUUAUUACUUUUUAAGAAACAGUUUAAAAACAAAACUCACUUGAAAGAGAAACCAUAAAUCCUAGUUUCACGGCUUUUGCUUUUCACUUUUCUUUAUCUUUUUAUCACCAAUUUCUUCAUCGUUUAUUCAUCUAUCCUUUCCCUAGCUUCUUCAUCUUGCAUUUUCUGGGAGAGAUGAUUCCCUUUUUUUAAAUCUCCUACUUCUUCACCUCUUCCUCCUCUUCAUCAUCGUAAUUUUAUUCAACAAAUCUUUAUUCAUUUUCAUUUUAUACCAAAAAUCAUCAUUGUUCUUAUUAUUGUUGGAUUUGACAAAAUUUGAUCUGUUUCCUAUUCAGUUGCUAAAUUCUUCUGCAUUUCUAAUUGAAGUUUCUGAAAUUAUACUUCUUCCGUCAUAAUUCAUGUAAAUGGGUUUUAUCUAGGGUUAAUGGAAAUGGGCCUUUUCCAAAGGGAAUUAAUGUGAAGUUUAUACAAGAGUAAUGAUGGGUAAUUCAAUUGUAUUAGGUGUUUCAAGAUUUAUGCCGGUGUUAUAAUUCUCAUAACUAUUGCAAGAAUGAGGUUUGUUCCCAUGAGAAAGAAAACUGUUUUGUUAAAUCAGUUUAUAUAAAACGUAAAUUAGUAUUUGGUUUUUUAAAAAUAAAAAACGAAAAAACAACAAUGAUAACGAACAUGCCCUUAGUUUAUCUUAGUUCCCUCAGUCUACCCCCAUAAGGAACUGAAACAUCUAUUUUCUGCAACGUUUGCCAUCAAAUUGCAUGUGUAUGUUGUAUUUUGUGGAUUAUUAAGCUUGUUCAUUGUUGAUGUAAAUACAUGCUACAAAGCACUUACCUUUCCUCCUUUUUUCUCCAUGCAUAUGGAUGGGUUGGUUGUUACUGCAACUAGAUAGUUGAUGGGAGGCUAAUAUUCGUUGAAUUUGCAAAAACUACAAAACCAGCAGAGGACACUAUCAGUUGAAGAUAUCUCAUGCAGUUAUUUGUUGCCAAUUGUAUUUGAGAUCAAAUGACAAAUGGCAGAAUGGUUUUUCCACAUUGUAGCAUAUGCUUGUUUGAGCUCGGACUUCAAUUAUCAUGCACAUUUCUUUAUUGCUAUCUUAGUGUUGAAUUUUUAUUCCCAAGUUUUGGAAGUAAUGAUACAAAAAUUUUAUGCUCAUCACCGUUCUGAAGAAUUUAUAUGCAAUUCCGCUGGGUGGCCUUUGAAACACCACCCCGCAUGCACAGCUGAACUACAAUGAUUUUGUUUUUUUGUACAAGGUUGUGGCUGAUG